ACUAAGCAAGCCGACGACGGUUCCCCUACGACGAAGCGAAGGGGAUUAAUAGGGAACACGGUGCGGACGACCCAACAGGGACCAAGACCGUGGCUGCCCCCGCAACUGUGAGCGGAUUGCCGCCCAUCCUCGUGACGCGCAAGCGUCGUGCCACUGCGAAUUCGAUCGCGGGAAGGCAGGUGGACGGCAGAUAUCCGCAAGCCAGGAGACCUGCCGUCAUGCGUUCACUCCAA
rnacentral:ncRNA from 20 species